rnacentral:rRNA from 1 species
UACAGAGAGUGUAAGCGUUAAUCGGAAUCACUGGGCGUAAAGCGCGCGUAGGUGGAUAUUUAAGUCGGAUGUGAAAGCCCUAGGCUCAACCUAGGAACUGCAUCCGAUACUAGAUACCUCGAGUAUGGUAGAGGGAAGUGGAAUUUCCGGUGUAGCGGUGAAAUGCGUAGAUAUCGGAAAGAACACCAGUGGCGAAGGCGGCUUCCUGGACCAAUACUGACACUGAGACGCGAAAGCGUGGGGAGCAAACAGG